GACGAACGCUGGCGGCGUGCCUAAUACAUGCAAGUAGAACGCUGAAGCGAUUCGCUUGCUCUUCUUGGCUGAGUUGCGAACGGGUCAUUAACGCGUAGCUAACCUGCCUUGUAUCAGUGGAUAACUUUUGGACACGAUAGCUAAUACCGCAUAACAAUGGAUGGCUCAUGGUAUUUAUUGUAACCGGCCAAUUGUUCCACUACAACAUGGACCUGCGUUGUAUUAGCUAGUAGGUGCGGUAAUGGCUCACCUAGGCGACGAUACAUAGCCGACCUGAGAGGGUGAUCGGCCACACUGGGACGGAGACACGGCACAGAGUGAUACGGGAGGGAGCAGUAGGGAAUCGUCGGCCAUGGGGGCAACACUGAGCGAGCAAGGCCGAGUGAGGGAAGAGGGAUUUCGGAUCGUAAAGCUCGGUUGUAAGUCAAGAAAGGGUGUGAGAGUGGAAAGUACACCAUGUGACGGUAGCUUAACAGAAAGAGACGGCUAACUACGUG
rnacentral:rRNA from 1 species